CUAACCCAGAAGCAAACCACCGGUGAUUUCAUUGUACAGCUAAUGUUCAUGAGUGUGAAGUACAUCGACGGCAAGAAAUCAACUGGCGAUAACCAUCAGAACAAAGGUCCACCAGGGGAACCGGUACUCUCCCCACCGUAUCAUUUGAACCCUAUCCUGUUACCAGAUCAUCGGCGACCAACACCAACCGACGUCCAUGAGGAGCUUCUAUCCAAAAUGGUACAUCGCGAACAUUACUUCCCCCGUCCCCACUGUGGAUGCACUUGAAGUUACAUCAGUGUCAUGUUGCUUGACUUUUUUAAAUAAUUUUCUGAAACUGUAGUGACUGCUGUAAGCUACAGGUCUCUUGAUUAUGAAAUUCAAGCUAGAUCCUUACUAGAAAUUGCAGGUUUCUCAAGACGUACUAGUUUCCUGUCAUGAAGAUCAGUACUGCUUUGGCCAUUUUUAAUUUUGAGUUCUGUCUGCUGGCCUGUUCAAGAUACUGGGUACUGGAAACAAGGCCAAGCUACUGGAAACAAGCUAAUGCCAUUCAUUGGGUACCCUAGAGUUGCCAUGUGACAAUUCAUGCCACCUGCUACAAUUGGUGCCUCACAAGAUCAUGUUCUCCACCCCCGGUUGCUUAAGCUGGAAGAUCUUGGUGAUAGAUUAGCCUUAAUGUGCGUAAAAAAAUGUUCAGUGUCUUUGAUCUUUUUUUUUUUUGGAAAAUUUCCUUGUUGACUUCAUUUUAGUUGGAAACCAGAAAUAACCCGAUUAGAUGGGUUUAAAACAUUCGGAAUUUUGUAAUUUUGUUAACCUGGUAUUGUUGGUCGUUUGUAAAAUCAGAUCCAAGUAAUUUAUUUUGGAUUCUCGUCUGUG